CAACCAAGGACGUUAAACGUAUGUGUCUUACUGCCGUCUUCUUUGGCCACUGUCUGCAUAUGGAAGCGUAAUCUUGAGCUCGUCUGUUUGGCCUGAGGAUAUUAAGCACUUCGCGUUUGUGCUAAGUCCCCGAAGACGAGAGGACAACUCAAAUAGCUUUUAAACAACGAAAAGCUUGUACAGUUUUUCCCGGAUGAUUGUUCAUUACACAACGACUCAUAUACAGUUGCAUAAACUGGUUUUCAGAGUCGCGAUCCUAUACGAAUGACGUACCUACAUGGAUGUCAGAUCCUGUAUUCCAGAUCCGCUUUUUCAACCCGAUUUAUUAAAAGACCUUUUCACAUAUUUGCUUCUGUAGAGUAAGACAUGGACCCAUACUUUUUUUUCACGCUAAGGGAUUGAAUUGAACGAAUGGAGUUUAAAACGAGUCAAAAGGUAUAGCUAAAUGUAUUAUGUUUACUGCAUCUCAGUUACGAUGACACAGUAAAUGAAACAAUAAAAGAAAAUAAAUUUAUACAAAUGACAAUGAUCGAGUUUUACUUGGUAGUUCAAUAAUUGAUGAUUGAAAAUGUGACCUUUCAUGACUUUCAAUCCACAAGCAGACAUGGUCGACGGAGACCGUAAUCCGCAUAGAAGACGUAGUCUGCUAAUACUCGUCUGCUAGGCCUACGUCUGUUACCAAGUGGAUUAAAAAUCAUGGAUCAAGCAUCAAGGUCACAUUUUCAAUCAUAAAUUACCACAUUGACGGUAAUCAAUGACAUUCCUUCAGUGCGAAAUCUCAUUUUACAGACAACUACGUACUCUAUCCGCUGGCCAAGUAUAGGUGAUCCGGCAACAAGAAAGCCCAAGACUCCAACCCUAAACGUAUUGGUUGCUUAUCUGAGUCUUUUGUUGUGGCAAUGCUUCGAUAUUAGUCCUGUACGUAGCAGAGCAAAGAAACGUUGAAAUUGAAGAAAUGAAUUGUCUCUUUAAACGAUCGUAAGGAUUUUACCUUUCUUCAGAGAUUCUCCGCAAACUGAUUCCAUUCCAGACUGGUUUCUUGGUUUGCACAUCGCACACUGAACUCGAUCGACUAAAUUUCUCUUUUUUAAAGUCCAGAGCUUUGGCCAGACCCAACGGUUCGUUGGCCGGAGCACUCACUUUCUCUUGGUUCAAUUUUUCGUACGAUUGGUUCAAAUUUAAAUAGUGAUCACUGACGGUCGACUCCAUUUGAAGGCUGAUCUGCUGCUCCAUGUGGCUGAAUGUUGGUCUCUCCUUCGGGUCCGAUUUCCAACAACUCGCCAUGAUUUCUCCGAAAUAAUUGGGCGCAAAAUCGGGUUUCUCCAUUCGGUAGCCUUUCUCCAGUUGCCGUAUGAGUUCGUGAUUGGCUUCCAUACCUGGAUUUCGGAUGCGUUCGUCACUAUAGUUUCCCUUCCAAAGGUUCAAACGUGAACGACCUACCUGGAUAUGGCACUUUGCCUAAGGUGAAGAUUUCCCAAAGAAGAACGCCGUACGACCAGACGUCAGACUGAGUGGAGAAACGGCGAUCCGUCAGAGAUUCAAUGGCCAUCCAUUUGACGGGCAUCAAACCCUGGAUUCACCACAGCAUUUUUUAAAAAUGAGUAAGUGGGAAAGAAAAAGAAAAAAAAACAA